UACAGAGGUCUCAAGCGUUGUUCGGAUUCAUUGGGCGUAAAGGGUGCGUAGGUGGCGCCAUAAGUCGGUGUGAAAUCUCGGGGCUUAACUCCGAAAACUGCAUUUCGAUACUGUGGUGCUCGAGGACUGGAGAGGAGACUGGAAUUCAUGGUGUAGCAGUGAAAAAUGCGUAGAAGAUCAUGAGGAAAGACCAGUGGCGAAAGGCGGGGUC
rnacentral:rRNA from 1 species